AUUGAACGCUGGCGGCAGGCCUAACACAUGCAAGUCGAACGAGUGGCGGACGGGUGAGUAAUGUCUGGGAAACUGCCUGAUGGCGGGGGAUAACUACUGGAAACGGUAGAUAAUACCGCAUACCAUCAGAUGUGCCCAGAUGGGAUUAGCUGGUUGGUGGGGUAACGUCUCACCAAGGCGACGAUCCAUAGCUGGUCUGAGAGGUGGACCAGCAACACGGGAACUGGGAAACGGUCAAGACUCCUACGGGAGGCAGAGGUGGGGAAUAUUGCAAAAUGGGCGAAAGCCUGAUGCAGAACGGCCGCGUGUAUGAAGAGGGCCUUCGGGUUGUAAAGUACUUUCAGCAGGGAGGCGGUACCCGACGAAGAAGCACCGGCUAACUCCGUGCCAGCAGCCGCGGUAAUAC
rnacentral:rRNA from 1 species